AUAUUUGGAGCUUUGUUAAUACAUUGGUCUUUGUUGCCAAUUCAAUUGGGAUGUGUAAUAUUGCAUGUAACUAAAGGCAGAAAGCUGGUUUCCUGAACUCACUAUAUAUGA